rnacentral:rRNA from 1 species
UAUGGUUGUGUGCCAGCAGCCGCGGUAAUACGUAGGUGGCAAGCGUUAUCCGGAAUUACUGGGUGUAAAGGGAGCGCAGGCGGGAUAGCAAGUCAGUUGUGAAAACUAUGGGCUCAACCCAUAGAUUGCAGUUGAAACUGUUAUUCUUGAGUGGAGUAGAGGCAAGCGGAAUUCCGAGUGUAGCGGUGAAAUGCGUAGAUAUUCGGAGGAACACCAGUGGCGAAGGCGGCUUGCUGGGCUCUAACUGACGCUGAGGCUCGAAAGUGUGGGGAGCAAACAGG